rnacentral:lncRNA from 1 species
CACCUCUCUCUCCCUUAGCCCGAUCCAGCGCCUCCCCUCUUCUCUGCGCAAGUCUGUUUGAUGUCCCUCUCUCUCAGCCGGCCCAAGCAAGAAAAAAGGAAGCCCAGGAGAAGUCUGUUUUACAUCCCCUCGCUACAGUACCUUCUUCUUCCUCCAGCCGGCCGGCUGCCAAGCCCGAGCCGCCGCCUCUCUCCGCCAAAUCCGCCUCAAUCGGUCGCCCUUGAGUCCGAUUGCUUGAGGGAAAAUCAUCUCCUCCUUAUCCUCUUCCUUUCCCCUAAGAUUUCGGAGAUCAAUUUUGCCCGGAUAAACCACAUCGAAUUCGUUUUGAGUUUAUCUCUCCAAACUAACCCUAGUUUUUCCCGGCUUGAUUUCUCGCGGUUGGAGUCCGAUCUCUUCAAUCCAAGCCUAUAAAUAGCAUCCCCUUGGCGUCCUCUUUCGUUUGCCCCAACUCCCGAGUUCCCUCGUCGCUCGUAGCGCCGCCGCCGCAUCGUCUUAGUCGCCGCCGCCGCCGACCGUCGUGCAGCCGCGUCGCGCCGCCGCCAGCGCCGUCGCCGACGCCUCUUUUCGCCGCCGUUGGGUGCGAACGGAGGAGGAGCAUCCCGGCCGCCCCUUCGCAGCCGCCGAAGACCGCCGGAGCGCCGCCGUCGACGUUGACCCGAGCCGCGCCGCCUUAGGACCUCGCCGCCGGCCGCCGUUCAUCGUCGUCCGUCGUAGUUUCUUGCACCGGUGAGUUCGCGUCGUCGUCCUCUACGCGUAGACGUCCUCCGUUAGCCCGGCCGAGCUCUCUAUUGCCGGUGGUCGUGUGGAGCAGUGCCAUGGCCGGCGAUGAUGUCAGCGAUGACGUCAUAUUCCCUUUUUUUAGUUUUCUUUAUUAGAUGCAAAUCGAUUAACUUCGGAAAUUCAUAACUAAAUCAUCGUAACUCGGAUUCGAGUGGUUCAAGUUGCUAAAUUCAUCUAAAAUCGAGAUCUACCUGUUAAAAAUAUCCACAUGUACUGUUUAUGCUUGUUUUUGUGCUGUUUUGUUGAUUUCGUUCAUUUGCUUUAGUUUCCGACGUUCCGGAGGAGAGCGUUUUCGUUGAGGAAGGUUCGGAAGCCUUUGCGGAAGCUCAAGGCAAGUCACACAGAUCCCAAACAACCCUUUGAGCAUGUUGAACCCGUUUAAAACUAAUGUUUUAUUUCAACUUAUGCAUUAUUUUCGAAUGUCAUCGGGUGGUGAGUCUUUCCCAAUUAAUUAAUGGCCGAAGAUAACUUUAUUUUCCUAUGGGUUAUAAUUUGAUUAGCUAGAACCUUAUAUAUUGGUUUGGUUCAGCUAAAUGCUAUAUAAUGGGAUGAAUCAUAUUAUAUUAUUAAUUAUGGUUAUAUUUAAUGGUAGCUCACGAUGGUUAAUCGUGUUAUGUUAAUAUUAGAUAAUUAAAACUGGAUUAAGGUGGGUUGUGAGCACAUGGUUUUGAAGGUCGUGCUCAUGAUAAUUAAGGACCGGUUCACGAGCUACUGUUGUGAAACAUUAACCGUGCUAACCACAAGCCAGCGUGGGCAACGGCUUUACCUUUUAUAUAACAUGGUUCAUUAUGGGGUGCCAGACUGAGAAGCGGCGAGAAGUCCGUGGGGAUCGCUGGGGAGUCCAUGCCUCUAGUUAUAUUUAUAGAGGGGGUGAUUAUGAUCCAGGAAUGGUGCACUGUGGUGAGUUGUAUUGUGCAAAGGGUAUUGUCACGAUUUCCCCCUUUGCAGUGCUGUGGUGGUACUUCGGGGCAUGGCAACAUGUGUGGAAUCGUGUCUUGUGGGUACAGCGGUACAUCUCUGGCCAGAGUAAAACUAUUCGAAUAGCCGUGCCCGCGGUCAUGGGCGGGUUGAGCAAUGUUUUUCGUAAUUAGUCUCACACCUCUCACAAAUAAUUAUUGAUGCAAUAACUGGUAAUAAUUUGUUUAGCUUAGAUCUGUACAGCCGGGUAUGGUUGUUCAGGAUGGUUGAGCCUGAGCAGCAUGGGUGUGCUGUUCAGUGUUGAUUAAAAUUUUUGAUUAAUUACUCUACUGUUUCACUACUCUUAAAUCUUUACUAAAUGCUGCUUUCGCAAAUGAGACUAUAUUAUGCCAUCCUUUGGUAUCCUUGUGCACUUGCAUAUUUGCUGUGUGGCUUGUUAAGUAUGUCAUAUGCUCAUUCUUGCAAUAAUCAAUCAACCUCAGUUGCAGAAAAAGGAUCCAGAAAGAGAAGACGUUUGGCUUAUACCCCAGUUGAGCUGUCUGUGGGAGUGGAGCUGAAGCCAUCGCUAGACCGUUAUUCCGCUGCUGUUUUCUUUUCUUUUGUAAGUAUGUAACGUUAUUAUUAUGAUGGAUUUGUAUAUUAAAUUGUCAGUUUGUGUACCUCGGCUGAUUUCUGGACGAGGAUUUUAUGCACAAAUAAGUUCGGAAAUCACUAGUGAAUUUCCGGGCGUGACAGGGGUAGAGCGCGCGGCCGGCGCGAGCUCGAAGGCCGGCGGCGCGUGGAGGACGACGGUCGUCGGCAGAGGAGGACGAUGGUCGGAGGGUGAAGGUCACAAGCAGGCGGCGGCGGAGGACGGCGGAGGCGUGCGGUGGCGAAAAAAUUUGGCACCUUACAGCGCCAAAAUUUCUAGGGUUGCCGUUUGAACUUAGAAAUUUUGGUGCGGCGGGCUUGCCCUUAUAUAGGGAAACGAUCUUCGCAAGCGGGCGGUCCACCUGUGAAGAUCAUUUUUACUAUCGGUCGGCCUGCGAAGAUGUAGACCCUACUCGGCAUAAUAAUCUUCGCAGGCGGACAGAUUUUUGCAGAACUGACCCUUUCUAUUUCAUAAUUAUUUUAAAAUCAUUUCUAUGAUUUGAAAAUGUCUACAAUAGUUGUAAUAAAAAUGGUAAUUGUACAUACAAAUAGAUAAACCUUAGUAUUACUACUUUUCAAAUGUAAAUAUUACUUAAAUGUUUCAAACUUUUUAAAAUAAGUUUUCAAACAAUGGUUAGUGAACAUAACAAAAUGCUACUAAAUUUUUAAACCUCUUUUAAAAAAUUUUAAAAAAUAAAAAACUAUAAAUGUUACCUUACAAAUGGUAAUUGCACAUAAAAUUAAUACAAACUAAUAUGCAAAAUGUUGCGUGCAAUUGUUCAUCAAUUUGCGAUAUGAUCACACAUCACCUUACAUACCACCAUUACAUAACUACUAAUUUCUUAGAUGCUUACAUGCGACUCAACAAUCUUUACCCUUUAACAUUUUUUUCCCACACCGUCCGUGCGCAUGUAAGGCUUCACGAUCUUCUGAGUAGAUGUCUCGACAUUCUUAAUCUUCUGUACAAACUGACUAUAAAGUGGCAUACUAUCGUAUUGAUUGUAAUCUUCGACAUCUUCAACCCCAUCCACUCCCAAUAUCUUUUGUUUCCCGGGUAGCACUAUAUCUUUCUUCAAAUUUGAUGGGUCUUUCACGUAAAACACUUGUGCCACGCGAUUGGCGAGUACCCAAGGGUCAUCCUUGUGACCCACACUCGCCAGGUCAACAAUAGUAAGACCGAACUUAUCAACAUUGACCCCGUUUGGGUAUUUUACCCACUGGCACUUAAAUAUGGGGAAUUGCACUGUGUGCCCAUAGUCGAUUUCCCAUAUUUCUUCAAUAAACCCGAAGUAUGAUUGUUUUUCCUCGGCUUCAUCAAUUGCCUCCACACGGACACCGCUGUUUUGCGUACAGAUCUUAUUAUCUCGGGCUCUUGUACUAAACGAGUAUCCAUUAAUGUCAUAUCCCUGCCAAGAAUUUACUGUAGUUGAUGGACCACAAGCCAACCGCUUCAUAGUUAUUUCAUCAGUAGUUUGUCCCUCAGGUAAGUCUAGGUCUCGCAACCAAUCUAUGAAGAGACGCUUGUGUUCUUUCAUUAUCCACUCGGUGGUGUGACCCUUAUUGUUAGCUCGUAUUAGUUCGAUAUGUUGAUCGAUGUACGGCUCAACGAUAGCAAACUGAUGAAGCACGCUGAAGUGAGCUUCUUGGAAUGAUUUGUGAUCAUAGGUGACGAAUCUCUUCUUUCCUAUCGUUCCCCUGCCACUCAAUCUACCCUCGUGUCGGGGCACAGGUACUCCAAUUGCAUAUCCAUCUUUGAGGUAAUCGAUACAGCACUGGACAACCUCUUCAGUACUAUAACCCUCAACCAUUGAUCCCUCUGGAUGUGCACGAUUUCGGACGUAACCCUUCAAAACUGUCAUGUAACGCUCGUAUGACCACAUUUGAUGGAGGUACAAUGGGCCAAGCGCAACCAUCUGCGGCACUAUGUGAAAAAUGAGGUGCUCCAUCGUAUCAAAAAGUGACGGAGGGAAACACAUCUCAAGUUGGCACUGUGUCUCAUGUGCGAAUGUACGAAGAUUUCGUAACUCUUCAAGACUAAUGACCUUCUAUGACACUGCGUUGCAAAAGUAGCACAACCUUGUGAUAGCAACCUUUAAAUGCUCCGGUUUUAUGGCCCUUAUUGCCAUUGCAAGAAACACGGUGAGCAAGACAUGACAAUCAUGUGAAUUAUAACCAGAUACCGAUAAAUCUUUCAUUGAAACUAGUCGACUGAUGUUUGAUGAGAAACCUAUGGGCACUCUGACAUCACGGAGUGAGUUGCAAAAUGACUUCUCUCCUCAGGUGUCAGUGUGAAACAGACUGGUGGAAGAUAUACUUUGCCAUUCUUUUCUCCUUCUUGAGGGUGUAACUCUUCCCUGAUUUCCAUCUCGACUAGGUCCAUCCUUGAUUGCAGACCAUCUUUAGUCUUGUUCAGCAUGUCCGACAAUGUUCCAACUAUGUUUUCAAAUACAUUCUUCUCUAGAUACAUGACGUCUAUGGCAUGCCGAACCUCCAGAUCUUUUCAGUAUGGGAGGUACUUAAAAAAUAUGGAAUGCUUCUUGAAUGGGGGAGGGAGUUUAUCAUCUGGCUUCGAACUAUCAUCUUGCUUCUUACUAUCCCCUUGUUUCGUAUUCUUCUCGGGUUUCUUGCGCUUUGUCCCCUUUGAUGGUUUCUUAGUCACUUUUCCAAACUCGCAAACAAUUUUCUCUAUCAUUGCACACACCUUUUCUCCCGAUGUUGGUUUUGGUGUAGGAUCAGUCUCUUCAGUGCCAUCGAACUCCGCCUUCAUCUUGCGGUACUUGUGAUUUGUGCAUAGGAACCGCCGGUGCCGCAUGUACACAAGCUUGUUGGAACCCGGGAGAUACCUAUAGUACGUUCCAUUCAAGCAGAUCAUAAAUCCUGUUUUACCUUUAAUUUGACCUGAAACUGAAAACAUUGCUGGAUAAUCGUUAAUGGUCACGAACAUGAUGGCCUUCACUGUGAAGUAUUCCCUUAAGUACUCGUCCCACACUUUCAAUCCCUCUUUCCAUAAAUCAGCCAUAUCUUCUAAUAAUAGUUCAAGAAAUACGUCAAUAUCAAUACCAGGCUGACGAGGUCCCUGUAUGAGGAUACAGAGUAGUACGUAUUUUCGCUUUUAACAAAGCCAGGUAGGAAGAUUAUACAUGGUGAGAAGCACUGGCCAAGUACUAUGUGAGCUGCUUAUAUCUCCAAAAGGAUUAACUCCAUCAGUACUCAUGGCAAAUCUAAUGUUCCGUGGGUCUUUAGCAAACUCUCUAUACUGAGCAUCAAAGUUUAUCCACUAACGAGCAUCUGCCGGGUGUCGAAUCAUCCCAUCCUUCUUGCGCCCUUCUUCGUGCCAGCGCAUUAGUUCCGCAUCUCAUGGGUUAGAGUAUACCCGUUUAAUACGGUCUUUGACAGGAAGGUACUACAUCACAAGCUGCGAGAUUUUUCUUUGUCUUCCCUCAGUUGUGUCAGACGGUUCUAGGCCAGUAUUGCUAUUCGAUUUGUACCGGCUAGCACCGCAUGUUGGACAUUCAUCUAAAGAAGCGUACUCUUUCCUGUACACUAUGCAGUGAUUUACGCACGCAUGAAUCUUUUCCACACCAAGUGAAUGGAUGGUAGUGAGUUAGACCUCGGGAGCAUUUUCUGCAGAAGUUCUAACAGACUGUCGAAACUGGUAUUAGACCAUCCAUGUCUCGCCUUUAACCUCAUAAGUUCAAGAACUGACCGUAGUGUUGUGAACUCACUGUCACAGCCCUUCGACUCAUCGUACAAAACUUCCUUAGCUUCCUGUAAAGCUUCAAAGUUAUUUAAACCUCUAGCUGACCCCAUCAGCACCUCGGGUUCUGCAUGACGUAACAUUUCCUCUAGGUCGAUUUUGUCCUCAACAAAACCAUCGUCAUGCACCAUGUCUUCAACUUGUAUCGGAUCUACAUUUUCAGGCCCGUCCACUUGUUCUUCGCCAUGACGUGUCCAUAUUUCGUACUUGUCCAUAAAUCCACGAGUUACUAAGUGCUCCUUCACUUUAAAAGCAUCAUCGAAGUCCCAGGCUAUUUUAUUCUUACAGUCAGCACAUGGACAAAUUAUCUUCCUCAUAUUAUACUUCUCAGCGUGUGCCUUGGCAAUACCAAUAAAUUUAGACACUUCAUUUCUAUAUGGAGACAAAAACCUCGGCCAAUGAUACAUCCAUUCCUAACUUUCCAUAUCUCUAAAAAAAUGCACAUAAAAUAUUUGCACAAUUAAUACCAAAUUUGUAGGGUUUAUUGAAAAAACUUAUCGCUAUUCAAAACUAAUUAACAAAAGGUUAAUUGUAAAUUAAUAAAAAAACAAAGUUUAUUUCAAUUUUUUUUACACAGACAUGCCAAAUUAGUACAUUAGGAAAAGCUAACAAAAUCAUAUCAUCGGCAUAUUACAAAAUACUAUAACUAUUUUUUGAUUGCACCGAAUAAAUAGACAUUAAAAAUUUUAUUCUCUCUCUAUAUAUGACAAGAUCUAGAUCUAGAUCUAGAACUAAGAGGUGGAUGUGAUAACAAAAAUAAAAAAAUGAGAAUUUAUGUUACCACAUUAAACCACUACAACAAGAGGCAUCAAGUAUUACACAUACAUCUAACAUCAACAUAUCAAAAGAAAUAAAAUUAAAAAACAUGGAGCUCUUCCUUCACAAUUUUGCAUGCAUAAAUCCAUCACAAAUUAAGGUCUAAAAGCUUAAAAAAUUACAUACCUAGUGUGGAAAUGAGUAGAUCUAAGCACCGUAGAAAAAUCCCCCGAAGAUUUGAAGUUCAAAACCUCCCCCCUAUAUUUAAGUCACUUUAGGAGAGAGAAACUUCGGGGAGAAUGAACAGGGCUCGGGGAGGAAGAAGACUAUAUAGGGGCAUCUUUUCAGGCGGGCCAUAUAAGCGGCGCCUGCGAAGAUUGAUCUUUGCAGACGGACCAUAUAAGCGUCGCCUGCGAAGAUCGAUUUUCGCAGGCGCACGACGUCUGCCGCCUGUGAAGAUCGAUCUUCGCAGGCGACGCUUAUUUGGUCCGCUUGCAAAGAUCAAUCUUCGCAGGCGGACCGCCCCCUCUACCCCGGGUACUUUUUUUGUCGGCGGGGUUUUGGCUCCGAAUAACAUACCCGCCUGCAAAAAUAGAUCCCCUACGACGCCGAAAAUGAGUUUUCUAGUAGUGUAUGGGAACGCAGGAGAAGCUAGAUAGGGCCUACAGGCCUGGCCGGUGGACUUUGUUGUUUUGGAGGUGCUUAUUAACACUACGACAAAAUAACACAUCAGUGUCCCCCAUCAUCAGUGCCUAUUAGAGAAAACCUGACACUAAAAGAUGGUUUUCCAUCCGCCUUGCGCUUGCCUUGUACGUCCAUCCCCUCUUCCUCCGCCGUCGUCGCCUCCCUCCCCGCUAGAACAAAACUCCUCCGAUUUUCUAUAGCCAACUCCUCCGAUCCGACACUCAAUGCAACUCGAUCGAUCUCCGAAUCCGAUUCAUAGUACAACAGCAAGUUUGGAGGACGAGGGAAAGCGGGUGGUCACCGUUCUCGCCGCUCGCCGGGGUCUAUCCCAACCGCUGGCCAUGGAUGGCGGCGUGGUGGGGAUUGGAGUGGAGACUGCUGGACUGGUCGGCUCCUCUGGCCUUUAAAGCCGAUUCCCCUAUGGGCCUAGACUUCAUCUUCAGGAAUAAGUCUACAUUGCCUCCCUCAACUCUUGCCCCCGAUCGUGUCACCUCCCUCAGCCGCAAUACCGUUAUAACCCCUCCUCCAUCACCACCCAGUCCGGCCACCGAGCACCAACCCAGUCCGAGUCCGGGACUGUUGUUGCUGACGUGGGACGUAUCACCUAACGAACCCAAGCUGGCCCCAAUGAGCACCAACCCAGUUCGGCCAGCCGCGCCACUGAAGAAUCAACCGCCAUCUCUGCCGGUCAUCGCCGCUGCGUGGUCGUACAGGGCAGCGAGCUCGGCGCCCUCGAUGGGAAGCAAGCCGUGCCCCCCUCCCCCGCGGCCGCCAUCGGGUUUAAGCCCAAUCCGGAUAUGGUGACCAUUUUUAUAGUCACAUAUUAUACUCCCUCCGUUUUGAAAUGUUUGACACCGUUGAUUUUUUUAAGUAUAUUUGACCGUUCGUCUUAUUCAAUUUUUUUUUUGAAAUAUGUAAAAUUAUAUGCCUACAUAAAAAUAUAUUUAACAAUGAAUCAAAUAAUAGGAAAAGAAUUAAUAAUUACUUAAAUUUUUUGAAUAAGACGAACAGUCAAACAUGUUUAAAAAAGUCAACGGCGUCAAACAUUUCGAAACGGAGGGAGUAUAUUUUUAGUUUUGAACUAUGAAUAAUUUUCAAAAUAUUUGCUUUAUUGCACCUUGUUCAGUUAAUCCCUCUCAUAAAAGAGUUAAGAGAUAUUUUAAAAUGAUUUAUUCCACACCUAUUAUAACGUGGAAUUAUGCUCCUCAAUCUUUUUCAAACCCACUAGUUUGAUUGUUAACCGAACAAGACUUCAUAAAUAUGAACCGUAGGUUAUAGGCAUAGAUUAAUCUUAGAAACUAAUAUAAUAAAAUUAUAAAUUUGUUGAUAUUUUUAUAUAGAAAAUAAUUGUUAAAGUUUCCUUUUUAAAACAUGUUCUUAUCUGAAAUAACGAGUAUUAUUAAGGGAGUAAUAUUUUUCUGAUGGAAAUAUCUCUACCAAAUAAUAGCCAUUUUAGUGCAAAGAGGCGCUCCUAAUUUUAGGAAUAGAGUAGCCACAGAUGUUGGUCACCUUACUAAUCAUGAGAAAAUUGCAAAAUUCUCAAAUGAUUAUUUUGCUGAUAAUGAUCCAUAUUUGAUGCUUUGGUUUCAUAUUUAACUCCAAAAGACAAAUUAUUCUGUUUAGAAUAAGCAUCCACAAAAAUCGGCCCCUUACACCAUGAAGUCAAGUCAGGCAUGGGCUUUGGCCCAGACAAGUCAAGAAAAAGGUCCACUAGUCUCUGGCCCAAAUGAAGAAAAUACUGUGGAAUAAGUUCACUUUGGGUUCCUCUAUUUGUCGCCCAGUCUGAUUUUCGUCCCUUGACCACAAAACCAGUCCCCCAACUUUUGAAAACCGGACAAACGAGGUCCCUCGGUGGUUUUGAAGGCGGUUUUGGCUGACAUGGCGCCUACGUGGCUUGUUUGACUAGGUCUCCGUCCCACGUGGCAUUGACGUGGCGUUUACGUGGCAAUUCAACCCAAAAAAUAAAUAAACCUUGUGGGACCCACAUGUCAGUUUCACACAGAAAUUAUAAAAAAGGUGGGGUCCACGUGAGCCCCACAUGUCAGUUUCACACCGUCUUUAGGGACAUCUGGUGGGCCCCACGCUGGCCUUCACGGACAAGCAGCUCCUCGUCAUCCAGGACAUCGCGGCGGUGCUCUUCCCGGCCACCGAGCGCGUCCUCGGCAGGGCCGACGACCUCGUCCUCCUCAUCGAGUCCCUGCCCGGCAAGCUCACGACGCGAUCGACGGCCUCGAGGCCUUCGUCGCCGGCGCCGUGGGGCACCCGCUGGGGCACGGCGGUGGUGGCCGGCGAGCACGGGGGAGCUCCCCAUCCCAUCCACUGUCUUCCUCUUCGCCUAGCUCGCCCUCCGCUGCUCUGCCCGCGGCCGCGCUCGCCCUCCGCUGCUUUGCCCACUGCUGCGCUCGCCCGCCGCCGCUCCUCCGCCACGCUCGCAUACUUUGUGUUAGUGGCUGGUUGCAGGAAGCAGGUAAAUUAGCUAGCUAACAACGCUAAUGUGCUAAGCAAGCUAAUGAAUUAAAUAUGACUCAUGCAUGAGUCAUGCAUGUAAUGGCAUAUAUACAUGUGAGUGUGCUAAGCCAUAUACACAUGCUUGGCUAAUAUAUACGUCUGCAUGUUGUUGGCGGCAAACCAAUAAGAAGCUAGCUAGAAGCUAUAGCUGGUCGUCUCCAUGCAUGCAUAUAUAUGCUCGUACGAAGACGCAUAUGCAUGCGGCCGUCUAUACCCGAUGUAUAUGCGUAUGAGCUACUCCUAUGGGCUCGGAAGGAACUCAAGAACUUGGAGGUCGUCACGGCGGAUGACGGCGGCGGUGGCGGUGGCAACACCGUUACCGUGCAUGGCGACAAGGCUCCCGUUGACGGCAAAGGAGAGGCAGCGAGUCCGGCGAAACGCGCCGACGUAUCAGGUGGCCAAGAAUGCGGCGUGGUCUGCGUGGAGGAUGUACAGCGAGUGGAGACGCCAGCUGCAGAGAUCACGAAUGCCAUGAAGGACACGGAGAUCGUGAAGAAUAAGGACCAGGAGAGAGGAGGCAGCAAGAGGGAAGAAGAGGAGACCGUCGCAAUGGCCGGCACGGGGAGCAGGGAGGAAGCAUUGCUGGUUCUCUUCGAUACAGCAUGGCAACAGGGGAACCUCCUUACCGGCGGGAGCGGCGGGACGGCGGGUGCGCUUGCACUAACUCGUGGCCGUGGCAGGUCAGGGAGGCAGGCGACGCCGCCGGUCGCUGGGCUGCGGCGGCGGAUGGAGUCGCGUCGUCGGUAACCGCCGGCGGGCGCGGGCGGCGAAGGGCGGUGGAGGGAAAGGGGAGAGAAUGACAUGUGAGGCCCACGUGGGCCCCACCUUUUUUAUAAUUUCUGUGUGAAACUGACAUGUGGGUCCCAUGAGGUUUAUUUAUUUUUCGAGUUGAAUUGCCACGUAAGCGCCACGUCAAUGCCACGUCGGACAGAGACCUGGUCAAACAAGCCACGUAGGCGCCACAUCAGCCAAAACCGCGGAGGGACCUUGUUUGCCUGAUUUUCGUAAGUUGGGGGACGGGUCGUACCCGGUUUUGCGGUCAAGGGACGAAAAUCGGACUGGACGAGAAAUAGAGGCACCCAAAGUGAACUUAUUCCAAAUUCUGCAGCUCGUUUCAGUAGGAAGGAAUAAGUUCACUUUGACUCCCUUACAAGUGACCCGAAUCUAAUUCAUGACCCUAAACCACAAAACCAGAUAUCUAGACCCCCAAACUAUUGAAACCAGUGCAAUUUAACUCCCUGGGUGGUUUUGGAGGGGCGGUUUUGCUGACAUGGCGCUGAUGUGGUGGUGUUGACCUAGUACGUGGGGUUGACGUGGCGCUUAGGUGGUAUUUGAAUAAAAAACAUAUAUGUGGGACCCGUUUGUCAUUCACACACAUAAAUUUUGUGGGGUCCACUGACAUAUGGGCCCCACAUGUCAUCCUCUCUCUCUGCUUCCUCCCCUCUUCCUCCCUUCUCUCUUUCUUUCUCUUUCUCUCCCCUUCGGUGGCGGCCAACGAGAGCGAAUGGUAGUGGCGGCACUGCCCCAAAUGCAACCGGCGUGGCUCCAGCGAUGCCGCCCCUCGUCCUCCUCCUCUCUCCCUUAUUUAUCUCUUUCUCCCACCUUUACUUCCCUCGGCAGCGGCGGUGAGCAGUAGCCGGUAGGGGAAAAGAGCUAGGUGGCGACGCAAGGCAUCCAGGCUUCUCCGUUUCUCUAGCAGCGUCGCCUCCUCUUCCAUCUUCGAUAUGGCGCCACCACGGCAAGUGAAUCUGAGGGGAACGAAAGGGCGAGGCGAUCGACCAACGGUGGUGGUGGGCACCCCUAGACCUGGAGCGGCGGCGGCAUCGAGCAGCGCGGACACCGAGGUCCACAAGAGGGGUGGCCAUGGAGAGUUGUUCGGCCCUCGCCAGCCUGUCGUCGCCGCCACUCCAACGCCCGCCCUCAAGCCCGCCGCCGCCAUCGUGGCCCUCGCCUGGUGCUGCUCCAGUGCCCGCCCAUACGCCGGCCACCGUCCACCACCACCGCCACUUCGGCACGCGCCCAUUGCCUUCUCAGCCACCCCAUCAACGGUGAGGGACUCUCUCUCUCUCUCUCUCUCUCUCUCUCCCCAAUCUCCUUUUCUUGCUCGCAAGGGACUGCGACUGGUGAUGAUGGCAGCGGGACGGAGCUCAGCGAGGGUGCUCUAGUGGACGCCAUUGAGGCAGCCGGCGCCGGCGCCGAUAGCCUUGCCGUGUCAAGCUCGAAAUGAGAGACAGAGAGAGAUGGGUGAAGGGAUAAACUGACAUGUGGGCCCUACCUGUCAGUGGGUCCCGCAAUUUUUUUUGUGUAAUUGACAAAUUGGUCCCACGUACUUUUUUAAUUCUAAUGCCACUUAAGCGCCACGUUAACGCCACGUGUAAAGAAGACCCGGUCAAUACUGCCACAUAGGCGCCACGUCAAUAAAACCGCCUAGGGAAUCAAAUUGCACCGGUUUCAAUAGUUCGGUGGUCGAGAUAUCCGGUUUUGUAGUUUAGGUUGAUGAAUUAGAUUCAGGUCACUUUUAAGGGAGUCAAAGUGAACUUAUUCCUUCACGGGAUAGGAAGGGCAUUGGAUGCUGGCCCAUGAGCAGAAACAGAUCGAGGGAUAGGAGGAGAUAUCGUGACAGAUAAACAGCAGGCAACGGGACGAAGAAAGAAAGAAAAAGGAGAAAGAGAGGAAAAAGAAAAGAACAGGAACUUUUUUUAGAAAAGUCUAAAUUUGAAGGAUUUGGAAUUUUGGACAUUUUAAGAAUGUUGGGGAAAUUUUCUGGAUUAGCAAUUUUAUGAGAUUUUAGGAAUUUAGCUCCACUUCCAAAAGGCAAAUAAAAAUCAAAUAACUCCAAUCAACAAAUGAUAAAAUAAAAGUGUGGCAUAAUUAAUAAUUUAUUUAGUCAAAUUAAACCCUUUUCAUUUAUGAAAUUUUUAUUAAGCUAUUUUAGGCGAAUAAAUAUGAAUGUAAAAUUUUCAAAUCAAGCAAAUUAGAAAACACGAAAAAUGUGAUGUGACAUUGUUCCACAAUAUGUCAUUGAGCUAAGCCUUUUUUUUAGAAAAAAAAAACACUAUUAUACACAUACAAUGUUAAGAAUUGAUUUAUCCCAUUGGAAGUUUAAAAAAUAUAUCAUUUUUUAUUUAGCCUCCUUACACAACUUGGAAGUUUGCGCACAAGUUUCAUGUUUUUAGAAAAGUAGUUAAAAAUAUUUUGUGUUGGAUAUGAAAUAUUAUUUGCAUUAAAAACAACAAUUUGAAAGUAUUAUGUAUAGCAUAUAAUGGAUGAAUUAUAUUUGAAAAACAGAAUGUAGAAAUUUUAAAACCUAUACAGAAACUUUUAUAUUGUGUAAAGAUACUACACAAAUGUUUCAUAAUUUUUUGGAAACUUCUAAAUGGAUAAACCUAUUGUUAACCUUGUACAUUUGUAAGGAUAUUUUUGGUAAUUUUGAAGAAAAAAUCAGCCUAAUGACAUAUUUUAGAACAAUUGAUAUACUCACUGGUAUAUUAUGAAAAAAAGAUAAUGUCAAUAGCAAAUAGCAAAUCGUUAAACUAUGAUAAACUCAGUGACAUGGAGCAAAUUCUCUCAAUAUAUAUGACUUAAAAUAUAGCAUGUUUGACAACAUGAUAAAUUACAUGAAAAAUAUUAAUUCCAAAAAGAAAAGACCGUAUUUGUAACAAUUUGUUAUUUCUAGCGUCCAUUAAUAAAAAUGUAUUAUGUCUUAAUUGAAAGAGUUUUCAUCAUGUCUUUCAGUCACCAAUUUGUCACUAGUGGGCCCACAUCAAACCAUAGUUAGUGGCAAGGUAGUCCUACGAAGUAAUUAACAUAUCAUUUUGAAUGCAAGAAAUGCCACCCUUUGGCUAUGGCGAUAGUCUGAUUCAUCGUGUUGCAAAAAGAACAAGUAACUUUUUCCAAGUGAAUUCACUGAUGAACAAGUUAAUUUUUAUAUGCUGAGCUAGCUGUACAAUUUUUUGUUUCCGGUAGACCAUCAGCACUUCAGCAGCAAGCUACUUCUAGCUAGGUGAGUUGGUUGGUGGGUGCAGAUAGUGUUGGAUGCAGGAGACGAGAUCUUUCCGUCCAGGUGGCAUCAGCGGAUUGGUGGAGUGGACGGGGAGGAGAUUCCGCGCCAUACCCAUAUCCAGUCGCGGGGGCGCGGCGGCCAAUUGUGUGGCGCGGACGUGGCGCGCCGCGCGUCCACCAGUCCACCGCUCCGCCACUCGUACGCCGUAUAAAGAUCUCCCCUCCCGCGCCGCCCAUCUCCACCACACACCACAAAAAACCAACCCAACCGCCGCCGCAUCGCCCUCGUUAGAACGAUGGCCGCGUCGGCGCUGCACCAGACCACCAGCUUCCUCGGCACCGCCCCUCGCCGGGAUGAGCUCGUCCGCCGCGUCGGCGACUCCGGUGGCCGCAUCACCAUGCGCCGCACCGUCAAGAGCGCGCCCCAGAGCAUCUGGUACGUAGCGUACAUGCAUGUAUAUACAAACAUAAGUACUGUAUAUAUGUACACUGCAAUUGCUAACAUACAAGUAUAUAUAUGUGCAGGUAUGGACCUGACCGUCCCAAGUACCUGGGCCCGUUCUCGGAGCAGACGCCAUCGUACCUGACCGGAGAGUUCCCGGGAGACUACGGGUGGGACACGGCGGGG